UGAGAACAUUGGAUUUUUCACCCUAGU
rnacentral:piRNA from 1 species